GAAACCAAAAUAUGCAAGAAAAGCCAAAAUUGAGCAAUAACGACAUUUCACAUGCAAACACGACAACUGUAAUAAAACGUUAUUAAAUCCAAGUAAAAAUACACCAAAACUAUGAAAAACUAACUAGAAACUCCUAAAACACAGUGACAUAAAUGACACUUAUCACACCGCCACCCCUUUACCACCGACUUCCUUUAACCGUCGUUAAUUCGAACCAAGGACAACCAUCGUCGCUGCCGCUUUCUAUUUUUUAAAUUUACAACAAUGGAAGUCAGGGUUUCUGGUUGUAUUUAUUUUGAAUCAAUUCAAUGUGCGUGUGUUUUCAAGCCUUUUCGAUCCUCUAAUUUGAUUUCGGGAAAACAAGAAAAUGACGAGAAGAACAAUACAUAAAUGGUCAAUGAGGCUUCUUUGUGCUAUUGGAAGUGCAGUUGGUUUCUACAUGGUUGUUGUGUUAAGGCAAACGCAAAAUAGAGAUAAGAUGAUGGCUGAAUUGGGCAACAUUAAAUCGACUGACAGUGGCAUGGAAUAGGAUUCAGUUGAGGGAACAGGUUUAAGUGGGUUUUGUAUAAUUUUUUAUAAGAAUAUUGAUUGUAAUAUUUGUGAGUAACUCAGUAUGUUUUCGGUACAGAUUUUGUAUGUUGCAAGUAUACACCUUGUAUUUUUUGUUUAAUUGAUACUUCGUAUUAUAUAUAUUAAAUUAUGAAUA